AUAGAGAAAACGGAGGUGGGGAAAGAGAGGGAGGCCAGACAUACAUAUAUAUACAAAAAAAAAAAAAAAAAAAAACCUUGGGUUACGUUCUAUCGCUGCGCGCUCUCUCUCUCGAUUGCUUCGUCGAUGGUCGUCGCCGCCGCCGCUGCUAUUACACCGCCGUUGCCGCUUCUUCUACAGAGCUCUCUCUCUCUCUCUCUCUCGCUUCACAGUCAGUCUCGCAUAGUACAGUCGCUGCGUGCGCUGCUGCCACAAAACGUUUCGAAGGGAACACGGGGGAGAAGGAAAGAGGGAGGAAGGUUUGUGUUACAGAGACCGACCGAUCGGUGAGACGUGUUUUCCCUCUCCAAAAGUUUCCUUUUCCCUCUUCUUAUUCGGCUUCUUUUUUUUUUUUUUUAUUUUGUUCUCGUCUCCGUUCGUUUCGUUUAUUCUUUUCUCCCUACUUCUUGACCGACGUUCGGGCUCUGUCCUAGCGUGAAUUCCCAUUUCACGUCAACCGACCACCACUUACCGUCCCGCACACUGACGUAAAGGUUGUUCGUCAAACGGCUUCCCAUCGUUUAGAGCUUGUCAACUUGGAAAUCUUGGUUAAAUGGAGAACCACGUCACAUCUUCGAAUACAGCAACAGGAUCAAAGCAGCUACUUGAAUUUGAUUCCGGCUCAUCAUUUGUCAACGUCGUCGACGGCUGGGACAGCGAAAUUCAAACCCUUCCAUCUUCCUCACGAUAAUGGAGGUUUUCCUGACUGUUCCAUGUUUUUCAUUUUAUGACUGUGUUUCUUGCUCGUGUACCACCGCCACAAAUGCCACUACCAUGAGUGGACCCUUCUCUCAAGGAAAAGGCAAAAAAAAAAAAAAAAAAAAGGGACUAUAAAAACACACAUGUUGUGGAAAAGAAAAGGAACGAGAACAAGAGACACACAAAAACUGGCGAAACACGUGCUGCUACUGUCUCUCUAACAAACUAAUUUGCUGAUGCGGGAUACGUGGAGUACGUGUACACACCCAUCACCAAAAAAUCAAGGACUAAACAAUUGGCAACUGGAAAAAUAACCUGCUGGUCUAUAGCGACCUCAAAACUUUAUUUUCGGGUUUGUUUUGAUUUUCUCUUGCCUGUUUCCAAACAUCAACCAGAUCAAUAUUUCGUUCAUUUCAGUAGGGGGAAAAAAAAACGGGUUUCUCUCGUGACGAUCAAACAGUUCAAGUUUCCUCGGAGCCAGUGGCUCAAACUUUUCCCCGAAAAACUGCUUAUUUCUACUCAGAAAUCAUUGUUUCCAAAUCAGCCCUUAACGACACCGGCACAAUUGGGACAAGUCGCGUGAGUCAUUGUUGAUGGCAAACGCCCAGGCAAACUGCCUACACAAGAUACAACAAGAAAAGGUAAGAAGCUCUGAUUUUUUGAGAAAAACAAGAAUUGGCUGUGGAUUUUUAGCGCGGUCAUGUUUACGGUGAGCCAACAACAACAACACACUGAUGCAAGUCAUCUUUCUGAUGACUAUUAAACAUCUACUCGUUCAUGGAAUUUACAUGGAAACAAAAGAUCGACACGUCCCAUUUCAGAGAAACGAGGCAGAAUAUAUAAUUACUAAUAAGCAAACACGAACAUGUGUGUUUUUGAUCAAGAUCGUUUCAUAUUAAAUUUUCUUUUCACAUUUCAAAAAUUUUUGAAACCACUUCUUUUCUACGACGCUAGGUGGCUGCCUGGCAAAGUUUCCUGGCCUUCAAAAAAAAUAACCUGCUCCUGACAUACACCGCAGUUCCAGCACUUAAGAAAGCUACCGUUCACAUGCACACAUAUCCAAUCAUUUGACGUUGGACUUCAGCUCCCAGACAAAAAAAAAAAAAUGAAAACCAGAUUUUUUUUUCUCGCUCCGAUUCAAAUAAUUGAUUGGACCAACGAGAUAAGAUUACGUACAAUGUUCUUUUUGACAAACCAUCGGAAUCCCAGCGUCAGCAGUCACUCGAGGGCCCCACCAGAAGACUUUUUUUUUUUUUUUUUUAUCAUCUCCGAUGUUUCCAUUCCCAUCGACUUCGACAUCGCCCAAGAAAAACAAAUGUUACAUGCUUGCAAGUCAGCCGCUGCUGCAAUGACCUUAUUCCUUUGUUCUAAAUUUGCGCUUGACUUACACACACACACACACACACACACUCCAGAAGACAUAUCCCCGUGAUAUGUGCUGUCGCAGUCUUUUUCUUUUUCUUUUCUUUUUCUAUCGAGCUGCUUGGUUGCAUUUGAUGUGGCUUAGAUAAAUGAACGCCCUCCCGCUACCAUUAUCGUUGAUGAAUGGAUUUUUACUGCUACCCUUCAACCUCCCAGUUAUAAACGCGGGCGUCCGGAAGGAGGACGCAAGACAUGCACAACGAAGGAGCCAAAACGAAAACAAACAAUCUUAACAGACACGAAAAUUCAAGUCAAUGAAGCUAAAAGAGAACUUGACAAAAAAACGGAAGGUUUCAAGCAGCUCUAGGAAUAUCGUAUCCCAUUUCCGGUACAAGUCGCACACAAAAAAAAAGGGAAAAAAAAAUUUCAACCAUAGUUUGGGUUGGACAGAUUUCUUGGUCCAAUCCCCAAAAAGAAGACGGUCCAAAAAUGAAAGACGAAAACAAGAAUCGCGUGGACGAUGAAGAAAUAUGAGAUCACCAUCACAGCGUGACAGUUCGUCAUGCUCUACAUCUACCCUGUAGAUCCGAAUUUGUAGUUGCAUCACAAGACAAAUUCGGUUCUAGAGAGGUUCGUGUGGGGCAUAAACAGCUACAUGCUAACAACCGUGUUCUCAUUUCCUCGGGCAAACCAUCACUUGAAUCGAUUAUGCAAUUAAUCUAAGAUAUCACUUCUAUUUUCAACAGUUCGAUUUUGUUUUCAUACUCGACGCAGAUUACAAUACACGCACGAAAGAUAAGAAUCUCGA